CCUACGGGUGGCAGCAGUGAGGAAUAUUGGUCAAUGGGCGCGAGCCUGAACCAGCCAAGUCGCGUGAGGGAUGAAGGUUCUAUGGAUCGUAAACCUCUUUUAUAAGGGAAUAAAGUGUGGGACGUGUCCUAUUUUGUAUGUAUCUUAUGAAUAAGGAUCGGCUAACUCCGUGCCAGCAGCCGCGGUAAUACGGAGGAUCUGAGCGUUAUCCGGAUUUAUUGGGUUUAAGGGGUGCGUAGGCGGCCUUCUAAGUCAGCGGUGAAAGUCUGUGGCUAAACCAUAGAACUGCCGUUGAAACUGGGGAGCUUGAGUAUGUGUGAGGCAGGCGGAAUGCGUGGUGUAGCGGUGAAAUGCUUAGAUAUCACGCAGAACCCCGAUUGCGAAGGCAGCCUGCCAAGCCAUGACUGACGCUGAUGCACGAAAGCGUGGGGAUCAAACAGGAUUAGAUACCCCGGUAGUC
rnacentral:rRNA from 1 species